rnacentral:tRNA from 1 species
AAAAAAAUAAGCUAAAUAUAUAAGCUAAUGGGUUCAUACCUCAUUUAUGGAUAAACUAUCCUUUUUUUA